rnacentral:sRNA from 1 species
CGAACAGCAAAAACGGCAAACGGCAAAUGGCAAAUGGCAUCGAAAGGAACAGGCUAAUAAAAAGCCAUUAAAGCGAAGUUCAGGUUUUGAAACUCCACGAAUUCGAAAACUGUGCGCUGAGAGGAAGAUUCAAGCAUAUUGAUAGCGGAGAGGGUAUACAGCUGGCUUAAGUUAUACAACAUUCUUCUAACCAGCUACUACUGCAAGGGCAGAGCACUUGCCAUGCUCAUUGCCUCCCAACUAACUCGUAUAACGGUGUACUCCUCAUCUUCUUCCUCAUCAAAAUCAUCAUCAUCAGCUGCUGCUUCUUCGUCGCCGUCGUCGUCGUCGUCGUUUUGAUCAUCUUGUGCCUUUUUUUGACUGAUUAAGAAAAGGAAAACGCAGCCAAGCGUCACAAAAUGUGGCUGAUAAAAACCAAAGGCACAUGCACAACAAAAUUUCGUGUGCAGUCAAUGAAAAGUCAGCGAAGUUAUAUAGUAACCACAACUAUUCGCAUCAAUUAUGGACUUGUCUAAAUGUUUUAAAUCACCAUUUUCAACUACAACUCAAGUGCUGAAACCGCGAAUGGAUGAAUUGGUAGUUGGCUGCGCGAAAAUUGAUCCGUACUUACCAUAAAUAUCUGUACUUACCAUAAACAUUUAAUACAUACCUGUAAACAAUGCAUGAAAUAAAGUAUUUUAUUGA